CCUACGGGUGGCAGCAGUAGGGAAUCUUUCACAAUGGGCGAAAGUCUGACGGAGCAACGCCGCGUGCAGGAUGAAGGCUUUCGGAUUGUAAACUUCUUUUAUAAGCGAGAAACAUGUUGGUAACUUAUGAAUAAGGAUCGGCUAACUACGUGCCAGCAGCCGAGGUGCUACGUAGGUUCCGAGCAGUGUCCUGAGUGGCUGGGUGUAAAGAGUUGCGUAGGUGGCGUUAUAAGUAGCUAGUGAAAACUGGUGGCUCAACCAUUCAGUAUAUGAGGUAAACUGUUAAGCUUGAGCGCGUUAGGGGUAAGUGGAAUUUCUAGUGUAGGAGUGAAAUGCGUAGAUAUUAGGAGGAACACC
rnacentral:rRNA from 1 species